GGUUUAAACCCCCGCUAUAAAUAAAAAAAAUAAUGAUAAAAAAAAUUUCCUUUCUUUUUUAAAUUGGCUCUCCCGCUCUCAUUUUUGCCAAAUAUUUUUCCUCUUGUAACAAAAUAUUUUUCCUCUUUAAUACCCCCCAAAUCACCCUUUCUCUGAUUUUCCCCAAAUCGGCCCUAUCUCAUUUUGCCCCAAUUUCACUCCGGUCGGCCGGCCAUUGCUAAUCUGGCCGGCCAUUACACUAGGUUGGUGCGAUUGAGCUAGACUUCAAGAUGUGUACUUUUUACAGUGGUUAAAUAAUUGUGUGGGAAGGAAAAACUAUAUCACAUUUGUGUGCCUGAUGGCUUUCAGCUUUGUUUGGCUUGUCCUUGAAUGCGGAGUGGGCAUUGCAGUCUUAGUUAAAUGUUUAGUCUAUAAGAAAGCUCCAGAAAAUUAUAUAACAGAGAGGCUCGGAGAAGGAUUUUGCUUACAGUGGUCCUUCUCAUUCCAUUGACAUAACAAGAGAGGUAAACGCCUAAACAUCUCUGAUUUAAGCUAGUCUCAGGUGGAAUGCAGAAACUUUUAUCUCGAUUAUACUGUCAGGCUAUCCGUGAAGGAGCUGAUGCCGUAAUUGCAAUCGGUGGCGAUGGAACUCUUCACAAGGACAGUGAUGCAAUAAAAACUCUACUGGUAGUUGAUAAGCUACUUACUUUUCACUAGUGGAAAAAAAACUAAGUGAUGCGGCUAGUAGACCCAUUUCGCCCAUGGAUGCAGGGAGAUCACGUGAUGAUAAUGAUCCUAAUGACAUUUUUUGAUUUCGUUGCAUUUGUCUUGGAUAUUCAAUUAUGAUGGUGUAAUUGUGUAGUUGGAGUGAAUCUUAGAAUAUUGAAGGUUCUGUGUUUAAAUUUGAUUUUGUAGUUUGAAGAUACUAGUUAAUGUUGAAAAUUUGGAGUUUGAAGAUGUUAAUGUUGAAAAUUUAAUUUUGAAGU